rnacentral:rRNA from 1 species
AUUGAACGCUGGCGGCAGGCCUAACACAUGCAAGUCGAGCGGAUGAGGGAAGCUUGCUUCCCGAUUUAGCGGCGGACGGGUGAGUAAUGCCUAGGAAUCUGCCUAUUAGUGGGGGAUAACGUUCCGAAAGGAACGCUAAUACCGCAUACGUCCUCCGGGCGCACGUGGGGGAUCUUCGGACCUCACGCUAACAUAUGACCCCAGGUCGGAUUAGCUAGUUGGUGAGGUAACGGCUCACCAAGGCGACGAUCCGUAGCUGGUCUGAGAGGAUGAUCAGCCACACUGGAACUGAGACACGGUCCAGACUCCUACGGGAGGCAGCAGUGGGGAAUAUUGGACAAUGGGCGAAAGCCUGAUCCAGCCAUGCCGCGUGUGUGAAGAAGGUCUUCGGAUUGUAAAGCACUUUAAGUUGGGAGGAAGAGUUGUAAGCUAAUAUCUUGCAGCUUUGACGUUACCAACAGAAUAAGCACCGGCUAACUCUGUGCCAGCCGCCGCGGUAAAAC